UACAGAGGUCUCAAGCGUUGUUCGGAUUCAUUGGGCGUAAAGGGUGCGUAGGCGGCGCGGUAAGUCGGGUGUGAAAUCGUUGGAGCUUAACUCCGAAACUGCAUUCGAUACUGCCGUGCUUGAGGACUGGAGAGGAGACUGGAAUUUACGGUGUAGCGGUGAAAUGCGUAGAUAUCGUAAGGAAGACCAGUGGCGAAGGCGGGUCUCUGGACAGUUCCUGACGCUGAGGCACGGAAGGCCAGGGGAGCAAACGGG
rnacentral:rRNA from 1 species